GCUCAUAGCGCAGUGGUAGAGCAUCUGUCUUGCGCACAGAAGGUUCUAGGUUCAAUCUCUGGCGUAUCUGCA